GAAAUGCGAUACGUAGUUUGAAUUGCAGAAUUCAGUGAAUCAUCGAAUCUUUGAACGCACAUUGCGCCCUUUGGUAUUCCAAAGGGCAUGCCUGUUCGAGCGUCAUUUGUACCCUCAAGCUUUGCUUGGUGUUGGGCGUUUUUUGUCUUUGGCUCGCCCAAAGACUCGCCUUAAAACGAUUGGCAGCCGGCCUACUGGUUUCGCAGCGCAGCACAUUUUUGCGCUUGCAAUCAGCAAAAGAGGACGGCAAUCCAUCAAGACUCCUUCUCACGUUUGACCUCGGAUCAGGUAGGGAUACCCGCUGAACUUAAGC
rnacentral:misc_RNA from 1 species